UACGUAGGGGGCAAGCGUUGUCCGGAAUCAUUGGGCGUAAAGAGCGUGUAGGCGGCUCGGUAAGUCCGCUGUGAAAGUCCAGGGCUCAACCCUGGAAUGCCGGUGGAAACUGUCGAGCUAGAGUCCGGAAGAGGCGAGCGGAAUUCCUGGUGUAGCGGUGAAAUGCGCAGAUAUCAGGAGGAACACCAAUGGCGAAGGCAGCUCGCUGGGACGGUACUGACGCUGAGACGCGAAAGCGUGGGGAGCGAACAGG
rnacentral:rRNA from 1 species